GACGAAGGGGGCUAGCGUUGCUCGGAAUCACUGGGCGUAAAGGGUGCGUAGGCGGGUCUUUAAGUCAGGGGUGAAAUCCUGGAGCUCAACUCCAGAACUGCCUUUGAUACUGAAGAUCUUGAGUUCGGGAGAGGUGAGUGGAACUGCGAGUGUAGAGGUGAAAUUCGUAGAUAUUCGCAAGAACACCAGUGGCGAAGGCGGCUCACUGGCCCGGUACUGACGCUGAGGUGCGAAAGCGUGGGGAGCAAACAGG
rnacentral:rRNA from 1 species